UGUCAGCAACCCUUCUUUACUGACCGCUAGAUGUCACCGUCUUCAAUUGUUUUGUCAUGAUGUAUACAGCUUGCAUCAUGAAACAUGGCGAAACAAAUUGUUGCUAUUGUAGGCCUAUACUUAUUUUUCUGUGAUUCCGAAUACUGAAUUGAACUUCGUUCGUAAAGUCAGUCCGUCAUUCCAACAAGUUGACUUAGUGCUCAGUCACUUUCCAUCCAUUAGACCCUUAUGCUGUCAAAAGCCUGAAACUCAUAUUUGAAGCCCACAUACAGUGAAAUUAGACAAAAGGUCUUGCGCAUGGACCAUAGGAUCUUUUCUGAAUCUUGCAAGUGUAUCCUGUAUCAGAAUGUUAUCUGUUAUCUGUUUCUCUACAGCCGUUCAGAAGGCAACCCAGCUGAGAGAUAGAGUUCCAGUUACAGUGAAUGUACAUGAAGAGUGUGAAGUGUAUUUACAUUUACCAGUUAUCUGCUUCAUGAAAGUCAAAUGCCUUACUGAAUUCGUCACCCAAAUGAUAAAGAACUAUUUGUGACGUCCCCUGAGAUCGCGAGUCGGCCGCCAGUUUCAAUCUACAACGCAGUUUCUUCAUGGAAUCGUAAGAUCCUGAACUUGGGACUUCCACUACGGACUUCCACCACGGACUUCCACCAACAUUCGGAUCCUUAUCUUCACGACGUACGCUGCUUCUUGUGCUUCACUGGCGAAUUAGAUCACUUCAGUGUUCGCUUCCGUCCGCUGUGAAAUAACUGCAGUCACUCGCCACGGGAUUAUGCCCAGGUAAUGCAGAGGAAAUUUCGAGAAGAUGGACACCAUAACGUCGCCGGUAUCUCCAAAGUUUCAG